rnacentral:misc_RNA from 1 species
GAUGAAGAACGCAGCGAAAUGCGAUAAGUAAUGCGAAUUGCAGAAUUCAGUGAAUCAUCGAAUCUUUGAACGCACAUUGCGCCCGCUAGUAUUCUGGCGGGCAUGCCUGUCUGAGCGUCAUUUCAACCCUCGCCCCCGGCUUUUGCUGGGAGCGGUGUUGGGGAUCGGCCGCCCGUCACUGGGAGGCUGGCCCCGAAAUAGAGUGGCGACCACGCCGUGUGCUCCUCUGCGUAGUAGUAAAUCCCCUCGCAGGCGGACAGCGGUGCGGCCUGCCGUAAAACCCCCAACUCUUUCUGGUUGACCUCAGAUCAGGUAGGAAUACCCGCUGAACUUAAGCAUAUCAAUAAGCGGAGGA